rnacentral:rRNA from 1 species
CCUACGGGUGACAGCAGUGAGGAAUAUUGGUCAAUGGACGAGAGUCUGAACCAGCCAAGUAGCGUGAGGGAUGACGGUCCUAUGGAUUGUAAACCUCUUUUGUCGGGGAGCAAGGCCCGCCACGUGUGGCGGGAAGGAGAGUACCCGAAGAAAAAGCAUCGGCUAACUCCGUGCCAGCAGCCGCGGUACUACGGGGGAUGCGAGCGUUAUCCGGAUUUAUGGGGGUUAAAGGGUGCGGAGGCGGACUGUAAAGUCAGCGGUAAAAGCCCGGGGCGCAACCCCGGCGAGCCGUUGAAACUGGCAGUCUUGAGAUGUCGAGAGGUAUGCGGAAUGCGCAGUGGAGCGGUGAAAUGCUUAGAUAUUGCGCAGAACUCCGAUGGCGAAGGCAGCAUACCGGCGGCGAUCUGACGCUGAGGCACGAAAGCGUGGGUAUCGAACAGGAUUAGAUACCCCAGUAGUC